rnacentral:tRNA from 2 species
GGGGGUGUGGUGAAAUGGUAUCAUAAAGGUCUCCAAAACCUUUGUUCCAGGUUCGAGCCCUGGCGCCCCUGCCA